rnacentral:ncRNA from 1 species
UCGAUCCGUGUGCGGGAAAACCGCAUGCACGGUUCGGAGGGCGGGGCGGACCGAAAGCCUGUUCCUACCCCUAU